UACGGCCGUAACCCGCCGAAACACUGGUUCCCGUCCGAUCAGCAAAGUUAAACAACGUUGAGCGUAGUUAGUACCCAUGUCGUGUGGCCGCUUGAAAAUACCAUGUGCUGUAAG